rnacentral:tRNA from 1 species
GGAGGGGGCGCAUAGCGGCUAGUGCAACGGCUUGGAAAGCCGUGACCUUUACGGGUCUGGUGGGUUUUAGGCACGUUUAAAUCCAAUUUGAGAUAGCGGUGAUGGGAGUCGAACGCCGGAGCGAUGUGUCGUCAGUAGACGACACCGCGAGGCGGUGCCUAGCCCGAGGAGCGCGACGGCGCGACGAGAGGCGAAGGAGACCCCCACCCCCUCCGCCA